ensembl:lncRNA novel transcript
AUUGCUAAAAGGCUGCAAUCAUUAGGAGUAUACAGAGACUGGAAACAGUGCUGGGCUAAGUACAAAAAUCUCAAAUAUGAAUAUAGAACAGUUAAAUAUGCCCAUAACUCUGGAGACAGCUCUAAAACUAUGAAGUUCUUCCAUGAUUUGGAUGUAAUCCUGCAGUAUGAACCUGCCACACAAUUUACAGAGGAAGAUGCAAAUGGCAGGUACCUGGAAACGCUCAGCCCAAGUACAGCCCCAGAGACCACUGAAGAAUUUUUAUUGGUGUGUGAUACACGGAAGAAGGGAAGAAAACGAAAGUGCCUUUUCCACUGUUGGGAUCAACCUCAUGCAAGUGGUAAAAUGUCAAUUGCAUCAGUAGAUAAGGAAGAUGUCUCAGGAAAUCCUUUACUUCUGGUUUCUCAUGUCAGACCAAUGGAACUAGGUAUCUCUACGUCAGUAUUGGAACCCUCUAAUAAUACAACUUUUAUCCCAACUGUAGCAAAUGAAGGAGGAAAGCACUGGACUGUGCCAGAAGUCAGGGCUCUAAUAGACAUCUGGUCUGAUAAAAGCAUACAACGACAACUAGAGGGAACAGUGAGAAAUAAGAGGAUAUUUCAACAAAUUGCAGCCAAGCUUCAGAAAUUUGGAAUAGACAGAGACUGGAAACAGUGCAGAACAAAAUACAAAAACCUAAAACACGAAUACAAGAUCGUAAGAACAGCUCAAGAUCUAGGCAUGACUAAGAGUAUGAAAUUUUUUACUGAGUUGGAUGCUAUUCUGGGACCCAAUAAAACAGAAAAAUCACGAGACCAGGAAUCCCAAGAUGGAGAACAUGUCACAGAAUGUGCCAACGUAAAAAUGGGAGAGGACCAGACAGGUAGGAAGGUGAAGAAAAAUAAUCUUAACAUCAUGUUACAUCACACAGGUUCAAGGAUCCCUUUUCCAAAAUGCCUGGGAUCAGAAGUGUUUCAGAUUUAGAUACUUUUUCAGAUUUUAGAGUAUUUGCAUAUACAUAGUGAGGUAUCUUAGAAAGGGGAGCCAAGUCCAAACAUGAAAUUCAUAUGUGUUUCAUAUAUAUAGCUUAAAGCUAAUUUUAUGCAAUAUUCUUAAUAAUUUUGUGCAUGAAACAAAGUUUUGACUAUACCCAUCACAUGAGGUCAAGUGUAUAAUUUUCCACAUGUAGCAUCAUGUUGGUGCUCAAAAAGUUUCAAAUUUUGUAGCAUUUCAGAUUUCAUAUUAGGGAUGCUCAACCUGUAUUGAGAAUGUUCAGUACCAUAAGAGGAAUAUUAUAUAUGUAAGUUAAAUAGGUUUCAUUACAUGCUAUUUGACAAGCUAGCUGAAUUUAUUAUGAAACAGAUUUAGUAUACAUUUGAUCUUCCCCAGAAUAGAAACAGUACAGUUAUACAAAAAGGAGGAAAUAAAACUGGAUUCCCAGAAUAAAGUUUAAAAUAGAUCAAUUUUAAUAAAGCAAAUAUGCAACCCCAGAUGGCAGAAGUUAAAGUAAAUUUUCAUACUAAUUGUGGUAAAAUUGAGUAAAAUAGAAAAAGGGCAUUGAAGAACUUAGAAAAAUAUAAAAUACAUGAGACUUUCUUAGAAGUAGUACAUUUCUCUGAGACCCAUCAUAAAUGUCUUUAAAGUAUAUUUAAACCAAAGGAUUGAGAUACAGUACAUACACACUAAGACAUGAUAGCAUGAAAUAAACUGAAUGAGUUCUAGACCAGGAUUCAGGAAAUCAAAGUUGUAAGGCUCUGUGGAAGCUUGAAGUAACCAAGUGUCUUCUCUAGACCAGGGGUCCCCAACACCUGGACCCUUACUGGUCCGUGGCCUGUUACGAACUGGGUUGCACAGCAGGAGGUGAGUGGUGGGCGAGCCAAGCUUCAUCUGUAUUUACAGACACUCCCCAUCAUGCACAUUAUGACCUGAGCUCCGCGACUCCUGUCAGAUCAACGGCAACAUUAGAUUCUCACAUUAGAUUAGAACACUGGAGCACGAAGACUGUUGUGAACUGUGCAGGCAAGGGAUCUAGGUUGUGUGCUCCUUAUGAGAAUCUAAUGCCUGAUGAUCUGUCAUUGUCUCCCAUCACUCCCAGAUGGGACCAUGUAGUUGCAGGAAAACAAGCUCCGGGCUCCCACUGAUUCUAGAUUAUGGUGAGUUGUUUAAUUAUUUCAUUAUAUAUUACAACGUAAUAAUAACAGAAAUAAAGUGCACAAUAAAUGUAAUGCACUUGAAUCCUCCCAAAACCAUGGCCCCCUCACCCCCUGGUCCAUGGAAAAAUUGUCUUCCGUGAAACCAGUCCCUGGUGCCAAAAGGUUGGAGACCGCUGCUGUAGACCUAACUCCAAAAUUGGGGGGUGUGGACAAGAUGGUCUUAAAGACCUCUACUAACCACAGUGUCUCCGGAUUUUAUUAUCUGGCUUAAAUGAUGAGUCCCAAUUGUAAGACAGUCUGCGUCUAGGGAAGAGAGGGGAACCACAGACAGUUAAGACUGGAAAUGUUGGUGAGAAAUCUCAAAAUAUUUCGCUGGUGGACAAGAAAGAAACUGGUAUGCUAGAGAACUAUACAUCUCCCCCAGUUAGAUGACUACAGAUAAAGCAGCCCAACAGCAGUGGCAUGAUAUCUUCAUACAGUCAUUGCUGGAGAUGCAGCUAAAGAUGAUUCCAUUAGUUAUGUCAGAAGACUUAGUUAGAGACUCAGAUACAUACCCAAUAUCUAUAGUGACAAAAAGAUGCUUAAGGGUAGGGAAUCUAACUAAUCAUAUUUAAUAUUAGGGUCCCUUUAAAAAGGAAAAUACUGCAUUAGAGUUUAAAACACAAUUCUGGGCCAGGCGUUGUGGCUCAUGCCUCUAAUCCCAGCACUUUGGGAAGCCAAGGUGGGUGGAUCACUUGAGGCAGGAGUUUGAGACCAGCCUGGCCAACAUGGUGAAACCCCAUCUCUACUAAAAAAUACACAAAAAAUUAGCUAGGUGUGGUGGCACAUGCCUGUAAUCCCAGCUACUCGGGAGGCUGAGGAAUGAGAAUCCUUGGAACCUGGGAGGCAGAGGUUGCAGUAAGCCAAAAUCGUACCACUGAACCACAGCCUGAGCAACAGAGUGAGACUCUGCCUCAAAAACAAAUAAAUAAUCUAAAUAAAUAAAACACGAUCCUGAAGUAAAUUUAAAAAGCCAAUAUAUAUCCCCUUAUGUUCAUACAGUCAUUGCUGGAGAUGUAGCUGAAGAUGAUUCAGUCAGUAAUAAGUCAGAAGACAUAGGAGAUACAGAUAAAAAACAAGGUCUUGACACACAUAAAAUAAUAUUCUGGUUUUUUUUUUUUGUACGUGUGUGUGUGUGUGUGUGUGUGUGUGUGUGUGUGACAAAGUAUAUACAUAAAAUGCUAUUAUAAGACACUGCUAUGGCCUGAACUGUGUUCCUCCCACCAAUAUUCAUAUAUUGAAGCCUUAACCCCCAAUGUGAUGUAUUUGGAGACAGGGCCUUUGAAUGAUAACUAGCUUUAGAUGAGGUCAUGAGAGUGGUGCCCUCAUAAUGGGUUUUAGAUUUUAUAUCUAUAUAUUAAUAGACGCUACCAUACCUAAGAAAUUAUGUUAUAACAUUAUAUGAAGUACUGUUGGAUCAUAACUCAAAACACAUAAAUGAAAGGUGGAAAUAAUUAAUGGAAGCAAUGUUCCCCAUCGCUGUUUUUCUCCAAGUGUAGCAGCAUCAGCAUUAACUGAGAACUUACUCAAAAUGCAAAUUCUUGGGCCCCAUCCAGAAUCAGAAACUCUGGUGUUGGGGCCUAGCAAUCUGUUUUAACAAGUCUUCCAGGUUAUAAUGAUGCAAGCAAGUUUGAGAAUCAUUACCCUCUGGUAUAGGGCACUAAGGGUUUGGAGGUGAGAUUUUGUGCUUGCUACCUGAUAGUUUGCCUCUUCUACACAAACCAAAACUGGGGAGGAGGAGAUCACCAAGCCCCCAAGCUGAAGUAUAUCUGUUAAAAAGACCUUGUACCUAGUCUGUCAGUCCAAAGCUUCAUAUAACUUCACAAAGUGUAAAGCUCAAUGUUAAUUUAACAAACUAGUUAAUCAAAUUUCCUAUACUCCUGGCAAACUUAUUUCUCUGGUUUAUCAGACAGGACAGAUUCUUAGGUUUCCAUAGGCAUCACAGCUAUGGCCUUUGUCAUUAAGAGUUAAAAAUCAAAUUAUGCCAGGUGCAGUUGGCACAUGCCUAUAAUCCCAGCUUCUUGGGAUGCUAAGAUUGAAGCAUGACUUAAGCCCAGGAGUUUGAAUCCAGCCUGGGCAACACAGCAAGAACCCAUCUCU